GGUGAACGCUGGCGGCGUGCCUAACACAUGCAAGUCGAACGAGGUCCAAGGAAGCUUGCUUCCUGACGACCUAGUGGCGAACGGGUGAGUAACACGUGAGAAACCUGCCUCGGAGUGGGGAAUAACUCGGGGAAACUCGAGCUAAUACCGCAUGUCUUCACAUGAUCGCAAGGUCGAGUGAAGAAAGAAUUUCGCUCUGAGAGGGUCUCGCGGCCUAUCAGCUUGUUGGUGGGGUAACGGCCCACCAAGGCAACGACGGGUAGCUGGUUUGAGAGAACGAUCAGCCACACUGGGACUGAGACACGGCCCAGACUCCUACGGGAGGCAGCAGUGGGGAAUCUUGCGCAAUGGGCGAAAGCCUGACGCAGCAACGCCGCGUGCGGGAUGACGGCCUUCGUGGUUGUAAACCGCUUUCAGCAGGGACGAAAAUGACGGUACCUGCAGAAGAAGCCCCGGCUAACUACGUGCCAGCCGCCGCUGUAA
rnacentral:rRNA from 1 species